GGACCGUAGCUCAGUUGGUUAGAGCGCCACGUUGACAUCGUGGAGGUCAGCGGUUCAAAUCCGCUNNNUCA
rnacentral:tRNA from 1 species